CCAGGGGAGCGGAGUGGAAAGUGCGGUAUGUUGGAAUUGUUUGGCAUGCUGUUAUAUUAGGCUAGCAUUAGCUGCCUUAUAAUAGAGUACGUCGUUUAUAAGUAUGUGGGUUCCUGUAGAUGACCGACGGACGAAGACAAGCCGGGCAUUGGCGUUCCGUGUGUUAAAGGGUGUGCGUGUGCAGUCACCGGUAACUGAAGUACGGAGGCAUUUAGUUGGGUUUAACGAGGAUCGUGCUGGUGUUAAGAGCGUUUGCCUAAUUGCUGCUGCGUGCAGGGGGGCGGAUGGCCUGGAAGCUGGCUUGUGAAUGAACCCCGCCACUCGUCGUUUUUGCCAUUUGGUUUGGACAGUUAGCCACUGUUUUCCCAUAUGUGAAGUUUGUAUAUGUUUAUUUAUAUCAUGUCUAUGAAAAUGAGCUCUUUUAAUCAUUGAUGUUUUACUAUUGAUGCAACUUGUUGUGUUUGGGCAGUACCAAGGGUGGGCUGUACUAUUGUAAUCAACCAUUAUAUGAGAGCAGUGUGCAAUAUCAAGGCUGGGACAAGGGGAGGUGCCAGUGGGCAGGUGUACUUUGGACAAUUGUCUAUCUAACUGAUUAUCUUGGCACUUCAUGUUCUUUACUUGUUACUACAUUACUUAUUCUAAAUCUUAAUUGGCUUUGUUUGGGUUCUCAUAUUUAGUGGGCAGGGCUCGAUGCUCAAUGUGUUACGGGGACCACCCGUGUGGUGUGAUUACGAUUGGUGUGUAUUGACCAAGCCUUUUAUGGUUAACCUGGUGUCACCUUGGUUGCGGUGCUUGGGGUGUUGAGUCACUGGGAAGCCCUGUACUUAUUGUGGAUCAAAAGUGGGUUGCCUGUCAAUAUUGAGCAUUGGGGUGCUGCCCAACAUUAUUUAUUGGAAUCUUGCAUAUAAACUUGUCUUGAUGAGAACUCGUGUAUGUACCCCUAAUACACUGCUGUAAGUAAAGGUUGGUCCUUUACACAACAAAUAUUUUAAUUACUUUAUACCAUUCGUUCAGAGUAUUACCGUGUUGCUUUUGAUACAUCAGCCUCCAAUCCUUUCAUUCAUUUGAAUAACCCUAGCGUGGGGAGGGAUCUUUCCUGUAGAGUAUCAGUGGGUUCUCCCAUCCCCGUUAAAUAGAUGGGAGUGGCGUAAUCGUAACACAUGGUAGUAUAAUGGAACUGGGUUGUUGUCGCUAACAGCCACACAUGCACCGUAUGAAAGCGGACAAAUUUUCCUACCCAUGUUUUAGCUCAGAUACAGUAAGUCCAAAAUUAGUUAGCACAUCCCCGAAUUUUGCCGGAGUUAUUGGGAACAUUUCAUUCAACCCAAAUUUUUGUUAGGCUCAAUCAACCUGACAUAGGUGCGUCCCUUGGUCAUUUGCUUUGUCUAUUAACCAGGAGAUGGCGCAGGACGACAGCUACGACAAAGAAAUACGGCUUGUGGGUAAUCCCUGAAACAGCAGGCGUCAAAAAGCGCCUUUUAUGGGCAUGAGAUAAAGCUUGAGCAUGAUCUGGGUGUGAUUUCAGUCGGAUCGCAGUAAGACUGACUGCUCCUGGCAGUUCAGGCAGGUGACGGUGUUUCUGCUUCCUCCGCUGCUGAUUGAACGUCAUUCUUAAUCGUCAAAAUACAGUAUCUGGGACUAGGCUACUGUCCCAGAUUGUGAUACAAAAGCACAUCGUACUAUAAAGUUGCGUUAAUUUAAAAGAAUGAUCGUAGAACAUAAUGGGACAUUUUCCGGUGCGUAUUUUGCUGCCAUCAGUUACCCUGGCUUAAUCCGCUAAUUAGGCAUGUGCACGAUGACCGAUUCACUCGUAAAUUAGACCACAAUGAAAGGCAAGAAUAUUUAUCAGCUGCUGUUUACAUCAGGGAAUGUGUCUAAAAAUGACACCAUGUUAAUAAUAGGGCUAAUUCAAUAAUUAAGAGAAGUUGGUCUGCAAUCCAGGAACAGAUACGGCCCACCCUGCCCAUCCCUGGAUUUAGCCUAGUCCUACAUUUUGAAUUGAGAUUCUCCAUAGAAAACUUGCAUGAUUAAGAUGAAUCUGUCUCAGUGAAACUGGUCCUUUGUUUUAUGAAUCAAUUCAGGCUGUGUAGUACUAAGGAGGCUACCUAGUAAAUGGUAAAUGGUUGGCAUUUAUAUAGCGCCUUCAUCCAAACGCUGUACAAUUGAUGCUUCUCAUUCACCCAUUUAUACACACACACACACCGACAGCAAUUGGCUGCCAUGCAAGGCACCAACCAGCGCAUCAGGAGCAUUUUUGGGGUUAGGUGUCCUGCUCAGGGACACUUCGACACAGCCCUGGCCGGGGGUUGAACCGGCGACCCUUCAAUUGCCAGACAACUACUCUUACCGCCUGAGCCAGUCUCGCCCCUAGUAGGCACACAAAUGGCAGUUCCCCACUUGAAAUUUAAACCUAGAACAUUCGAGUUGAUGAGCUGCCACUCUAUAAUCAUGAACUAUAUUACCAGAGAAUUUUGAGAGAGGGUUAUGGGAGCAAACCUAGCAUCAUGAACAACAAUAAUGCAGAAAAUGACUGAUUUUAUAGUCUGGAGGGUGGAGCACAGAGACCUAAGAAUGACCUUCCUCAAGCGUGCUCUACUGGUGUCCUGUCAGAUUCCUCCAAUGCAGUAAGGGAUGAAGGGAAACAGGCCCAUUAGCCGUCAGGGGCGUUUCAGAGUGGAGUGGGCUGAUCUUGGAUCAGUUUGGAUGUUCAGCAUGUGGAUGGAUAAGUUCAGCAUGUGGACAGGGGUGACCUGAUUCUACAUUGGCACUCUAUCUGACAUUCUUGAUGAAUAUGGGCACAGAACUCGCAUCACAUGAACAAACUAGCUUCAACCAUACGUGACCUUUUGUGUGUCUGGUGCAGAGGAGAAAUUUGCCUUCUCCAUAAUAAACCAUCUCCAAUGACAUUCAUUGCAAAAUUUGCACCCUCAUCAUGUGCUUAACUUCCUUCACUGCAUUUCACAUUUUACUAAAAUGCACAGAGUUCAGUUCAGUAAUGCCUUUUUAGCAUGACUGUAUACAAACAAUAUUGCCAAAGCAAUUAACAAUAAAUUUAAAAUUUGUGAUGGCUAGACAACUGGGUCAAGGCAUCUCUGAAACGGCAGGUCUUGUGGGGUGUUCCCGGUAUGCAGUGGUUAGUACCUACCAAAAGUGGUCCAAGGAAGAACAACUGGUCAACCGGCGACACGGUCAUGGGUGCCCAAGGCUCAUUGUUGCACAUGUGGAGUGAAGGCUAGUCUGUCUGUAGCACAAAUUGCUGAAAAGGUUAAUGCUGGCUAUGAUAGAAAGGUGUCAGAACGCACAGUGCAUUGCAGCUUGCUGCAUAUGGGGCUGUGUAGCUGCAGACCGGUCAGAGUGCCCAUGCUGACCCCCUGUCCAGCGCCGAAAGUGUCUACAAUGGGCACGUGAGCGUCAGAACUUGACCAUGGAGCAAUGGAAGAAGGUGGCCUGGUCUAAUGAAUCAUGUUUUCUUUUCCAUCAUGUGGAUGGCCGGGUGUGUGUGUGUGUCGUUUACCUGGGGAAGAGAUGGCACCACGAUGCACUAUGGGAAGAUGGCAAAUCGGCGCGGCAGUGUGACGCUCCAGGCAAUGUUUUUCUGGGAAACCAUGACUCCUGUCAUUCAUGUGGGUGUUACUUUGACACCUGCUACCUACCUAAACAUUGUUGCAUACCAAGUCCACCCCUUCAUGGCAACUGUAUUCCCUGAUGGCUGUGGCCUCUUUCAGCAGGAUAAUGCGCCCUGCCACACUGCUAAAAUUGUUCAGGAAUGGUUUGAGGAACAUGAGAAAGAGUUCAAGGUGUUGACUUGGCCUCCAAAUUCCCCAGAUCUCAAUUUGAUCAAGCAUCUGUGGGAUGUACUGAAUAAACAAGUCCGAUCCAUGGAAGCCCCACCUUGCAACUUGCAGAAUUUAAAGGAUCUACUGCUAAUGUCUUGGUGCCAGAUACCACAGGGCACCUUCAGAGGUCUUGUGGAAUCCAUGCCUCGACAUGCCUCGGGACAGAACUUUUGGCCGCAUGAGAGGGACCUACACAAUAUUAGGCAGGUGGUUUUAAUGUUGUGGCUGAUGGAUAGAACAUAGGACUAAUACAAAAUAAAAACAUCAAUUAUAAAUAGCCAAACAUACAGACAGUCUACAUGAAUUGUUGAGUGAGAAACACUCAUAAGGACAGUGACAAUAAGGAUGGCUAUAAACGACGUAAGUAGCAGGCAAUGUCACACAUUCUAUUUUCACCCCUAGCAUACAUCUCUUCCUCCUUCUCAUUUCAAGGUGGAUUGCGAAAGACUCCCUUGAGAUGGCAUUGCUGUGCUGAUGGGUAUCUGCGUGUCUCUGUGGGCUCGCCCGUUUGCGUGCUGGGACAUGCGCUUCCCUCUUCAUCCACACUGCCCUAUAAGGCAACAGUGUCGCACUAUCUUGCUGUACAGGAAGUGAUGUUUUCUUCAUUCUGUGUUCAUGAGGAAGUGAAAAGAGAAGCUGGCUGUGGUGCAAAGCUGUGUCUAAUUAGCAUUAUGAGGCGCUGUCACUCCCCCCACCACCGCCUAAAACAGGAAUGUACAUGCACACCUUAGUCAAGCUGGUAUAAUUACAGGCUCAGAGAAAAUGCACAUGAAUCUUAUAAUUAUACAGCUCACAGAAAGGUGUGGUAUAAUCAUAUCCUUUAUUUACAAACCAUUUGGCACACCUUGCUUUGAAGGUGUGUACUGAGCUUUUCCCACUGUGUCUACCCAAGAUAAACUAAAGACUACACAGGCUCAGUUCCACUGCAGCUGCAGCCUUACAACCAAUAAUCUGCACAGCAAAGAUCAUACAUCUGUCACACAGACAUUCAGAAACACCCCCGACUAAAGAGGCAAAUACCACUUCCUCUACCACUUCCUGUCAAUGGUUGAGUUGCCAGCUCAGGGUACUUCAUGUUUCUGUUCUACAGGUUACUACUGUCAUGUCAUUGCAUUUAUACUUCUCAUGCCUCACUCACAUUGUCUGUCUGUCUCUCUCUCUCUCACUCUCUCUCUCUCUCUCUCACACACACUCACACAGCAUACACAUGACAAACUGAAAAGGGCUGGUCUCACAUAUGGUACCUACCCACUUCUUCAUUGAUAGAUGAUUUAGGUGCAAGAUUUUGCGCAUGUGGGUGUGUGAGAGAGGAACAGUAAAGGGUAAGUUAUGCUGACUGGCAUACAUCUUUUUCACACACACAAUCGCACACACCAUGGGGUCAUGGCUACAGAGACAUACAUGUUAUUUCCUGGACAUACUGAUAACAUCAUGUCAAAUUGUCAGGAACAAAUAACACCAUCUAUUCAGACAUUGGUGUCAUUUCUACAGGGAACAAACGGGGAAGAAUAACUCUUCCUGCAAGGGUUUUAUUCUCACUUGCAUGAUAGACAUGCAGCUCCACAGAGGACAGUCGUGCAAAUGCAUCUCUAACAAUAAGCGUGAGGUGAGGAGGAACAGGAAGAGAAAGUUCAAACUCUGAGCGAAGCAGCAAAGACAGAUUCAGAGAGUUCAUUUUCAGCAGUCGGCACAAUUGGUAUCACUAAACCAAUAAACAGGAGAGUGGCAUUUCUUCCUCAUCAGGUCCUGUCUCAUUUCAUAUUUUUACUGAACUUUGAAGUCUCUGCCCAAAUCUUCAGGCAUUUGAGCAGGCAGCCCAAGAGGACCGCUGUGGAUUGCCUGAUUCUUCGCUCCCAAAUGUGUACCUCAUAGUUUGUUCCCAUUCUGUCCAACCUGACUGAUAAGUCAUUCGUAUUAAAAUCAGUUUCUCCCC